rnacentral:rRNA from 1 species
AAAUACUCCUGACUGACCGAUAGUGAACCAGUACCGUGAGGGAAAGGCGAAAAGAACCCCGGCGAGGGGAGUGAAAAAGAACCUGAAACCGUGUACGUACAAGCAGUGGGAGCACAGAGCAAUCUGUUUGACUGCGUACCUUUUGUAUAAUGGGUCAGCGACUUAUAUUCUGUAGCAAGGUUAACCGAAUAGGGGAGCCGAAGGGAAACCGAGUCUUAACUGGGCGUUAAGUUGCAGGGUAUAGACCCGAAACCC